AUUGAACGCUGGCGGCAUGCCUUACACAUGCAAGUCGAACGGUAACAGGUCUUCGGAUGCUGACGAGUGGCGAACGGGUGAGUAAUACAUCGGAACGUGCCUAGUAGUGGGGGAUAACUACUCGAAAGAGUGGCUAAUACCGCAUGAGAUCUACGGAUGAAAGCAGGGGAUCGCAAGACCUUGUGCUACUAGAGCGGCCGAUGGCAGAUUAGGUAGUUGGUGGGAUAAAAGCUUACCAAGCCGACGAUCUGUAGCUGGUCUGAGAGGACGAUCAGCCACACUGGGACUGAGACACGGCCCAGACUCCUACGGGAGGCAGCAGUGGGGAAUUUUGGACAAUGGGCGCAAGCCUGAGCCAGCAAUGCCGCGUGCAGGAUGAAGGCCUUCGGGUUGUAAACUGCUUUUGUACGGAACGAAAAGCCCUGGGUUAAUACCCUGGGGUCAUGACGGUACCGUAAGAAUAAGCACCGGCUAACUACGUGCCAGCAGCCGCCGUAAAAC
rnacentral:rRNA from 1 species